UGGGUGGCGACAAUACCCCUGUAGCUGCUUUUUCCAUUACCGGCUGCAGCCUAAAGAAGACUGAGCAGACCACAGAGAGCAGCGGCUGCAAAAGGCAUCGAUCCUCAAUCCUUUAUUCUCCGAUCAAAAUGUGCAAACGGGACAGAUCUGGCUUAGUACGGGGUUGCAUUCGGUGAAGGAGCCUUUUGCACACGCUGUCAUCCGUCCCCGGUCCCUAUUGCGAUAUCGAAGCUGCUGGGGCCUGAUCCUGCAGCUGCCACAUCGGCGCUAUGUCGGCAAAUAAAACAAAGAAAGUCAAAAUGGCCACCAAAUCCUGCCCUGAGUGCGACCAACAGAUUCCGGUGGCGUGUAAGUCGUGUCCCUGUGGGUUUGUUUUUAUUAGUCGCAAACUCCUGACGGCGAGGUUAAAUGAGCGCCCCUCCUCCCCAGGACUAGCAGAUCAACUGGAGUCGAAACGGCGGCGGACUGAGCGCAUCCGUAAAGACCGCAUCGAGGCUCUCCCUAGUGACAUGGAGAACAGGAGGAGAGCCCGGCCCAGCUGCCAGGGAGACCCCAUCCGCAGGGGCCGAGGGAGACCCAAGACUGUGGGCCUCAAGAAGGUGGAGGAUGACAGAGGUGUGCCGUGUCUAGUUCCUGCUCUACAAAGCAUUACAUUUAGUUCACAAAUAGUAAAUUAUGAUAUUGUAUAAGGCUGAACGAUAUAGCUACAAAAAUUAAAUCUUGAUCUUUUUGCACACACUGGGCAAUUGUAUUUUUAUUUGAAGUCAGAGCAGAGACAGAGGAGGCUCUUUACGUUGUCAUUUUUAUCAUAUUCUAUUAUUUAAGAUAUUGUAAACUGCUUUAAUUACAUUUGUAUAGAUAUCCAAUUUAUAAUUAAGAAGUAAUAGUUGUUAUUUGGACAGUACACGGACUCCAAAACAUGCUGUUUGUGUAGCUAAGAGAUUUUAUCAUUCACCUGUUAAUGGCAGAAAACAUGAACGUUUAAAAUUUUUGGAUGAAUAUUCUCCAUCAGGAUAAACUUUGGUAAAAUUUAAAGGUCCUGUAUUACAUAAAAAGGAUUCUUGUGAUUCUCUGCCUCAAGUGGAGGAGUUCAAGUAUCUCGGGGUCUUGCUCACGAGUGAGGGGAGGAUGGAGCGUGAGAUUGACAGGCGGAUCGGUGCAGCGUCGGCAGUGAUGCGGUCGCUGUAUCGGACAGUUGUGGUGAAGAGGGAGCUGAGUCGAAAGGUGAAGCUCUCGAUUUACUGGUCAAUCUACGUUCCUACUCUCACCUAUGGUCAUGAGCUCUGGGUAAUGACCGAAAGGACAAGAUCGCGGAUACAAGUGCACGAAAUGAGUUUCCUCCGCAGGGUGGCUGGCCUUAGAGAUAGGGUGAGGAGCUCAGUCACACGAGAGGAGCUUGGAGUAGAGCCGCUGCUCCUCCACAUUGAGAGGAGCCAACUGAUUUGACUCGGGCAUCUGUUUCGGAUGCCUCCUGGACCCCUCCCUCGGGAGGUGUUCCUCCACUGGUAGGAGGCCCCGGGGAAGACCCAGGACAAGCUGGAGGAACUAUGUCUCUCGGCUGGCCUGGGAACGUCUCGGGAUCCCCCUGGAAGAGCUGGAGGACGUGUGUGUGGAGAGGGAAGUCUGGGAGGUCCUCCUCAGACUGUUGACCCUGUAACCUGACCCCGGAUAACCGGAAGAAAAUGGAUAGAUGGAUGGAUUCUUGUGAUCUUUAAGCCAUGUUAUAAUGCUGUUACCUCCUCAAAAACAUAUCUGGAGUUGUAGUUUGUUUUAUUCACACAUAUUUCACAGGGUAUCCCCAGGUUUGACUACCCCAAAUUUAAGACUUUUUUAAGACCACUUAAAUGAAAAUUAAGACCAACAUCGCACCCAGUAUGUGGUCGAAAAACACCAGAUCCAAUUCUAAUAAUGACUCUUCUCACGGCUUUAAAUAACAAAAAAAAAAAACUUAUAAAAUCUCAUUCAGAACUCAAUUAUAGUAGUAUGCAUUGCUUGUAAAAUGGCCAAAAAUCAUUUCUAACAUUCUAACAAGACAAACUAACCUUUCACAUUGUCUUGUCUCACAUUGUCUUUCAAAGUGCUUCAACCAUUUAACAUUUUCAACAACAACAAACUGUUGUUUACUGUACUGAUUGUUUUUACUCAUUGCCGCCGGCGCCAGAAACCAAAGUAUUGUUUGCGCAUUCUCCAAAUUAGACGUAGAAUUCACAUUACAUGAUUUCAUGCUGUUGUUUUUUUCCCCUUCCUCUGUUUAAAAUUACACUGCACCCCAGUUGAGUUUACAAAAAAAUAGGCUAAUGAAAUUUAAGACCUUUGUGAAAAAAAAUAGGACUUGGACAACAUGAUUUAAGAUUUUUAAGGCCUUAAUUUAGGAACACGAAAUUAAGACUUUUUAAGACUUUUAAGACCCCGCAGCUACCCUGUUUGAGUAAUCCUAUUCUGUCUAUGCCAUGUAGAGGUAGUUUUAAAAUUAACAACCUUUUUUCUUUUAGUUGAAUAGAGACUUGCAAUUCCAGGAAGGUGUUCAGACUUAAAAACCACAGUCUAACACUUCCCGUAUUACCACAAGAGAAGAACUCAUGAAUGGAACGACACUGAAAAAAACACAACUCCGGAGAAACAAGAGAAGGAGGUGGACAUGUACGCCAGCCUGUCUGAUGAGAAGGCCUUUGUGUUCUCUGUGGCUUUGGCCGAGAUCAACCGCAAGAUCCUGGGACAGAGGCUGAUCAUGUGACACCUGCAGGCUGGAAUCCACACCAAGGAUUAUCCAUGUUAUUUUUAAUACUUUAGUUUUUCUCUGUGGAAUACCAAAAAGGACCAGACUGAGUUGGAAUAGUGUCCUGAUUUUUUUUUUUUUUUUCCCUUUUUUGACACAAAUGCCUGCUAAAUAACUAAGACUUUUAAGACUUUUAAGACUUUAUUCUUGAGAUGUACUGUAGG